AACACACACAAGGUGUGUGCUACGAUCAAGGAAAAAGGGGGUGUGAACCCUAAACCUCAAGAAAUCAUCAAAUUGAAAAGGGAAUCAAGGGCUGAUUGUAUGCAUGAACCAAGGAUGAUGAUCCCUUAAGCAUUUCUAACAUCAACGUAGGAGCCAUGUCAACAUGGACACGAGCAUGGAAGGGCAAUGGGUCAACGGUAAAUACGGAAGCUAUGCAUGAACUCGGACGCACGAGGUAUUGCACGGAUUACCGCUACUACUACCGAAGAUAAGCAAGCAUUGAUCGAGUCACGGAGCAAGGGUUGUACGGAAAUAUGUAUUGUCUUGAAGCGUUAAUUUAAUGUGGUUAUUGUAAAUCCCUUUUGUAAAUGUUUAUCAUUUGUAUUUGAGCCUUCAAGUAAGUAAUGUGUCUAAAUAAGAAAGAAACUUUUGGGCUCGUAUUUUUCCGCUGUGUCAUAUUUAAGUUCUUACAAGUUGGUCUUACAGGGAAUCGUUCAUUAUACGAACGGGUCAUGCCCGAAUUUUGUAAAUAAUAAUACUUAUUUUGGAGUAAGAAAUAUGGGCGUUACAAGUUGGUAUCAGAGCCCUGGUUUGAGGGAAAUCAAGUAGAAGGAGGUAAAUACUUGAACUCAAACCCGUGUGCUCUUGUGUCAAGGAACCCAUACAAUCCAAGACUCGAUCAAGGCCUAAGGUUAAAAGCGAAUGUAAGUAUGUAUUAAAUUAUGUAUUUGAAGGAAACUAAUAGUAUGUUAUGUGAAGGGUAAGCGGAAUUGCUUGGAAGGGAUGAUAUGUGAAUGUGGUUUAGGACCGAUACCAAGGCAUGUAAUAAGACAUAUUGACCCAGGUACGUAAAUUUAGCUUAUGGGUGCAUGUAAUGGUAAAAUCUAUCAAGUGAAUGAAAAUUUUGAAUGAAAAAAAAAUAAUAAUAAUGGAAUAGUAAUGAAGUUUUGAAAAUAUUACACGUGCUGAAACCUAAUUCUUCGGACAUAAGGUGGCGAUUGCACGAAGACGCGGAACUAGUAUGUGGAUUGCGUGCCUGGCCAGUACACAAGAAACAUAUGACGUUCGUGAGACCGUGAUAAUUGUUACAGGUAUGUCCGUUAGAAUUAGGUAGUAGGUGGACGUGAGGGUGAAGGGAGAUGUAAGACUCUCAAGAAAUUGAAAGUACCUAAUACAAAAGAGAAGUAUGAAUGACAUGUUUGAAUCCGCGAGACGGAUUCGAAACAUGA